rnacentral:rRNA from 1 species
AGCAGUAGCCACGGGAAUACGUAGGUGGCAAGCGUUGUCCGGAAUUAUUGGGCGUAAAGGGCUCGCAGGCGGUUUCUUAAGUCUGAUGUGAAAGCCCCCGGCUCAACCGGGGAGGGUCAUUGGAAACUGGGAAACUUGAGUGCAGAAGAGGAGAGUGGAAUUCCACGUGUAGCGGUGAAAUGCGUAGAGAUGUGGAGGAACACCAGUGGCGAAGGCGACUCUCUGGUCUGUAACUGACGCUGAGGAGCGAAAGCGUGGGGAGCGAACAGGAUUAGAUACCCCCGUAGUCCCUGUCUCUUAUAA